AAUGAAAUAAGACUCAUCCUUGAUUAUCAUAAGGUGAAAAGUUGAAUCCAACAUGAGUGUACCAUGUACAUGAGAUGACGAGCAAGACUUCUUUCUCAGAAUGAAUAAUUUUUCGUUCUAGCCAUUCAACAUAAGUAUUUGAAAACACAUUUUAAUCGAGAUUUGCAAAUAGAAAACAUGCAUUUAGGAAUAGAUUUAAUUACUGAAGUUCCAAGGUACUAUAAAUGCUAGUCAACAACAAUCUAUAGAGACAACAAUAUAAGAAACUAUUUAUAUUUAUAUCAUAAGGAGACAUAUCUCUUGAAUACCUCAUGUAAAAGUUUAAGUUGUUAAGAGGGAAAAAUAUUUAAGUUAUGCCUUCAUAUGCCCUUCACCGCUUACGUGCAUGUCUCCCAAGUUUUCAUCAAAGGUUUGAUGCAUGCACAAUUUUCAUAAAUUGGAGGUGAGGAGACUUGAACUCAGGACCUUUGUUUGCUCAUAUACAAUUUUGAGCCACUGCACGUAAAAAUUUAAAUUGUUGGAGAUGACAAACUUAUUUCUAUUGAAUUAUGUCUUCAACAAUAUCUUGAAAUACAUCGAUGUCCCGAAAAUCCACCAACACCAGAGAUUAGAAAAGGUAAUGCCCAACAUGGGGUGGCCGAGUUAGUGGAGUAGGUGAGCGUGAAGGCCUUUGAUCACGAGUUCGAUUCUCCCCUAGUGGCAGAUCCAGGUAGUGGCGAGCUAGGGCGGGAUCCGUUGGAAUGUUGCAGCGAUGAGUUGCAGGCAACGCAGCCAAGAGGAAGAAGAGGCAGAGUAUGGAAGAAAGAAAGAAACCUGGGCUCAAUUCAAUGUGGGCUGCC
rnacentral:lncRNA from 1 species